UUGACGGGGCCCGCACAAGCAGUGGAGUAUGUGGUUUAAUUCGAUGAUACACGAAGAACCUUACCCAGGCUUGACAUGUUGGUAGUAGGGAUCCGAAAGGUGACCGACCUUCGGGGAGCCUUCACAGGUGCUGCAUGGCUGUCGUCAGCUCGUGUCGUGAGAUGUCCGGUUAAGUCCGGUAACGAGCGCAACCCUUGCUGUGUGUUAUAUGUGUCACACGGGACUGCCGGUAUCAAGCCGGAGGAAGGUGGGAUGACGUCAAGUCAGCAUGGCCUUUAUGUCUGGGGCUACACACACGCUACAAUGGCCAGUACAAUAGGUUGCAAGACCGCGAGGUGGAGCCAAUCCUUAAAGCUGGUCUCAGUUCGGAUUGCAGGCUGCAACUCGCCUGCAUGAAGUCGGAGUUGCUAGUAACCGCGCGUCAGCUAUAGUGCGGUGAAUACGUUCCCGGGCCUU
rnacentral:rRNA from 1 species